UCUAUCCCCAAAAAGUCCAUCUUACCCCUCUAUUUAUCUUAUCCUUUUUUAUUUUUGUUAGCAGUUCCAAAUUUGUUAUUGUUCACAUUUACAUUACUCUUUCACAAAUCAAUCUAAGCGGCACUCUUAUCACAAGUUUAAUAUGUGAUAGAUUUUCGACGUACAUAGAGUAUAAAUGCACAUCUUUGAGCAAGGAAUUCCCCUUUGAAAGAUUCAUGGUCCAUUUUAGUAUUCAUAUUGAAAUUGACAAAGGAAGAUACAGGAAACUCCAAGGUCUAGAUAAAACUUUGUAAUACCCUUUGAUCUCAUCCUUUUAAUUGACAUAGCCCAAAUCCUCUGGUAAAAUUAGGAUGAUUCAUCGGGAAUA
rnacentral:misc_RNA from 1 species